AGCUCAGCCACGCCAACCGCAUGGCCGCCGAGGCCCAGAAGCAAGUCAAGAGCCUCCAGAGCUUGUUGAAGACACCCAGAUUCAGCUGGACGAUGCAGUCCGUGCCAACGACGACCUGAAGGAGAACAUCGCCAUCGUGGAGCGGCGCAACAACCUGCUGCAGGCUGAGCUGGAGGAGUUGCGUGCCGUGGUGGAGCAGACAGAGCGGUCCCGGAAGCUGGCGGAGCAGGAGCUGAUUGAGACUAGUGAGCGGGUGCAGCUGCUGCAUUCCCAGGUGAGCAGCUC
rnacentral:lncRNA from 1 species